AGCGCUACUGGCGUCAGGUCUUUUCCGAAAGAGGCUCGCUGAGGUACUUGCUAGAAUCGUUAUUAGAGAAGUGUUCGCUUUCUUUUUUCCCAGUAUGGACCCCAGCAUCCCUUUGGCCCUAUCUCGCGCUGUUCACGUUCACAGCAAAAGCUCCUUACGGCCUUGUGAGGUUCCGCUGUGCAGUAGCAGCGUACCGGAUCAAUCCUUGUUGCUGAUGCCUGCAUCCUGGCGUGAUGGAUUGCUCCUAAAGUUUGUUUCCUGCGAUCCAGCUUGGGCCGUGUGCCUCACUGCACCUGCUCUUUGUACUGUUCUCCUGCUGUGCUCCCUGGCCACCAUAAACAAAGCAGCUUUGCUUUGUCAGGCCCUUCUGCCAUGAUGUCUCUACCUUGAAGCUGGCCAAUCAUGGACUAAACCCAUGAGCAAAUUAAACGUCUCUUCCUU